AUUGAACGCUGGCGGCAGGCCUAACACAUGCAAGUCGAGCGGAUGAGAGGAGCUUGCUUCUCGAUUCAGCGGCGGACGGGUGAGUAAUGCCUAGGAAUCUGCCUGGUAGUGGGGGACAACGUUUCGAAAGGAACGCUAAUACCGCAUACGUCCUACGGGAGAAAGCAGGGGACCUUCGGGCCUUGCGCUAUCAGAUGAGCCUAGGUCGGAUUAGCUAGUUGGUGAGGUAAUGGCUCACCAAGGCGACGAUCCGUAACUGGUCUGAGAGGAUGAUCAGUCACACUGGAACUGGGACACGGUCCAGACUCCUACGGGAGGCAGCAGUGGGGAAUAUUGGGCAAUGGGCGAAAGCCUGAUCCAGCCAUGCCGCGUGUGUGAAGAAGGUCUUCGGAUUGUAAAGCGCUUUAAGUUGGGAGGAAGGGUUGUAGAUUAAUACUCUGCAAUUUUGAUGUUACCGACAGAAUAAGCACCGGCUAACUCUGUGCCAGCCGCCGCGGUAACAC
rnacentral:rRNA from 1 species